UACGUAGGGUCCGAGCGUUGUCCGGAAUUAUUGGGCGUAAAGGGCUCGUAGGCGGUCUGUUGCGUCGGGAGUGAAAACUUACAGCUUAACUGUGAGCGUGCUUCCGAUACGGGCAGACUUGAGGUAUUCAGGGGAGAUCGGAAUUCCUGGUGUAGCGGUGAAAUGCGCAGAUAUCAGGAGGAACACCGGUGGCGAAGGCGGAUCUCUGGGCCUUACCUGACGCUCAGGCGCGAAAGCUAGGGGAGCGAACUGG
rnacentral:rRNA from 1 species